rnacentral:rRNA from 1 species
UACGGAGGGGGCGAGCGUUAUUCGGAAUUAUUGGGCGUAAAGGGCGCGUAGGCGGCUGUACAAGUCAAAGGUGAAAUCCCUCGGCUCAACUGAGGAACUGCCUUUGAAACUGUACGGCUUGAGGCCGGGAGGGGGUAGCGGAAUUCCCAGUGUAGCGGUGAAAUGCGUAGAUACUGGGAGGAACACCAGUGGCGAAGGCGGCUACCUGGACCGGUUCUGACGCUGAGGCGCGGAAAAGCGUGGGUAGCAAACAGG